UACGAAGGGGGGCUAGCGUUGCUCGGAAUCACUGGGCGUAAAGCGCACGUAGGCGGAUCUUUAAGUCAGGGGUGAAAUCCUGGAGCUCAACUCCAGAACUGCCUUUGAUACUGGGGAUCUCGAGUCCGGAAGAGGUGAGUGGAACUCCGAGUGUAGAGGUGAAAUUCGUAGAUAUUCGGAAGAACACCAGUGGCGAAGGCGGCUCACUGGUCCGGUACUGACGCUGAGGUGCGAAAGCGUGGGGAGCAAACAGG
rnacentral:rRNA from 1 species